rnacentral:tRNA from 1 species
GCCUCUUUAGCUCAGCCGGUCAGAGCACGUGAUUUGUAAUCUCGGGGUCGUUGGUUCGAAUCCGACAAGAGGCU